rnacentral:lncRNA from 1 species
CCUUACGUGAGCAGGAGCUGACGUUUGCAGGCGUCCUUCUAAUUCUGGUCCUGGUUUGGUCCGGUUACCAGCUCCAUAUUACCCAGAGGGCGGGCGGGCCUGUGGCCAGGGAAGGAGGAGGAGGUAACUGCCCGGAUCCCAGCAGGUUACAGGACACAGUGGACUUCCAGGCAAGGAAAAGAAGGAAGAAACUGCCUGGACCUGUGCUGGUGUAUGUGGGGGUGUCACUACCCCAAGACAUCUGGAGGGGUAGGGGAGGUUCCACUGUAUCUGCAAGCUGCAACCGGGCCUGCCAGCUGUAGCUGAAGACUCCACUCCCAACAUAGAAGCAACCCCACUCUACCCUGGUUGAAAAUUUG